ensembl:lncRNA
CCCGUCCCCCGGCGAGGAGCGAGUGCCGCGCCGCUCCGCCUUCUCCUUUUCGCAAUGUUGACGCAAUCUAUAAAUAGUGGAACAAAAGGAGCAACUUCCUCGCAGCUUUGCUGAAACUGCACAAAAAAGGCAACCGGGGGGGUGGGGGGGGGGCGUUAUUUUGAUUUGAUUUUUUGCCACCGCUUUCAAAAGCGAAGCCUCCUUCCCUCCCUUUCCCCCCCCCCUCCCCCCCCCCCCCCCCCGCCCCCCUCCCCGCCUCUCUCUCUCGCUACUGGAAGAUUACAGAUCCGUGCGCGAUUAUUUUUUGAUUCCUCGUUGUCUGCUGCGCUGGCACCGUCCUGCGAGCGGCGAAGCGGCUCGGCGCCGGGCUUCCCCCGCUGACAAUUACGGAUGAAAUCCAUAUGCUGAUGGCUACCCUGUAAUGAAGGCUCAUUGCUCUCAUUGCUAUUUCUACCACAAAAUGCUGCUUUCGUGGGCAAAAAGAAAAAAAAAAAAAAAGAAAAAAAAAAAGAAAAGAAAACCUCCAAGCCGUUGGCUGCCAUUCCUUUCGAUGCUCAUUGAAAACUUCACUCAGGGCAGUUUUAAUCAGCUAAGCCUGAAAGUGUAAAUAUACGGCCAAUCAGUUCUAUUUUCUCCCUUUCAAAAAAAAAAAAAAAAAAAAGGAAAAAAAAAAAAAGGAAAAGAAAACAAGAUGUGAGGAACGACCGAUUCCUUUUUUUUUUUUUUUUUUUGCUAAGAACUUGCUUUGAAAAAAAAAAAAAAAAGAAAGAAAAAAAAAAGAGUUGGCUCUCGAGUGAUCCCGAGCCUCGGAGCCUCGGCGCGAGCAGCCGCGAACGGGCGCGGUAUCAGCGUGCGGUGCCUCACGCACCGCUCGGCGCUCAGCCGGCAGCCCCGGGAUCGCGUGUUUCUGACCGGCAGCGCACUUCUCGUAGCCAUGACGGUCUGAGCGAGCCCGGCAGCUCGGAGCUCUCCGUGUCGGUCGGUUAGGGGAAAAAAAGAAAAAGGCGACGAGCGAGAAGGCGACGAGAGAGAGCGCGGGCCUGGGGAGCGGCGGUGCGCGGCCCCCGCUGCUCUCUCGCUCCCUCCCGCAGAGGGAAGCCCGGCGCCGGGGCUGAGGCGGACCCGCCGCAGCCUCACGUCAAGUGCAGAGAGAGGUCCCGGAGCGCCUCCAUCUCGCUUCCCCCCUCCGCGAAAUGGGGCUGCGAGCGCGG